rnacentral:rRNA from 1 species
GAUGAACGCUGGCGGCGUGCUUAACACAUGCAAGUCGAGCGGAGAUAUUUAAACGGAAGGUUUCGGCUGGAAGGUUAAAUAUCUUAGCGGCGGACGGGUGAGUAACGUGUGGGCAACCUGCCCUGUACUGUGGAAUAAUCACUGGAAACGGUGACUAAUACCGCAUGUCAUCACAAGGGGGCAUCCCCUUGUGAGAAAAGGAUUUAUUCGGUACAGGAUGGGCCCGCAUCUGAUUAGCUAGUUGGUGAGAUAACAGCCCACCAAGGCAACGAUCAGUAGCCGACCUGAGAGGGUGAUCGGCCACAUUGGGACUGAGACACGGCCCAAACUCCUACGGGAGGCAGCAGUGGGGAAUAUUGCACAAUGGGCGAAAGCCUGAUGCAGCAACGCCGCGUGAAGGAUGAAGGGUUUCGGCUCGUAAACUUCUAUCAAUAGGGACGAAAAAAAUGACGGUACCUAAAUAAGAAGCCCCGGCUAACUACGUGCCAGCAGCCGCGGUAAUACGUAGGGGGCAAGCGUUAUCCGGAAUUACUGGGUGUAAAGGGAGAGUAGGCGGCAUGGUAAGUUAGAUGUGAAAGCCCGGGGCUUAACCUCGGGAUUGCAUUUAAAACUAUCAAGCUAGAGUACAGGAGAGGUAAGUGGAAUUCCUAGUGUAGCGGUGAAACGCGUAGAUAUUAGGAAGAACACCAGUGGCGAAGGCGACUUACUGGACUGAAACUGACGCUGAGGCUCGAAAGCGUGGGGAGCGAACAGGAUUAGAUACCCUGGUAGUCCACGCCGUAAACGAUGAGUGCUAGGUGUCGGGGGGGAACCCUCGGUGCCGCAGCUAACGCAAUAAGCACUCCACCUGGGGAGUACGAUCGCAAGAUUGA